rnacentral:rRNA from 1 species
CAGCAGACUAACCAGGAUUCUCCCAGUAACGGCGAGUGAACGGAGAUUAGCCCAGCGCCGAAGCCUAUCUGCAUUUGUGGACAGGGCAAUGUGGCGUUGAGACUUGAACCUGGGGAUGCUUGUCUAUCCGAAGUCCAACUCCGAAUAUGGCUUGGAUUUGUUCCAUAGAGGGUGAAAGUCCCGUACGGAUAGAUUUAAUUGUCUUUAUAAGCAUGCCUUAGAUGUUCAGGUCUUAGAGUCGGAUUGCUUGAGAAUGCAGUCCAAAGUGGGUGGUAAACUCCAUCCAAGGCUAAAUACUGGCACGAGUCCGAUAGUAUACAAGUACCGCGAGGGAAAGUUGAAAAGUACUCUGAAGAGA